UUUUUAGCUUUUUUUGUAAUAGUUUUGUUUAAUUAGUUAUAGGUUUGUUUUGGCUUAGGCUUAGUUUUAGUUUAGGUUUAGUUUUAGUUUAGUUUACGCUUAUGUUUAGUCUUAGGUUAGUUUCCUGUUUAGUAGAAGAAAAUAAGAAAAAGUAGUAGAAGAAGAAUAAGUAGAAGAAGAAAAAAGGAGAAGGAGAAGAAGAAGAGCUAGAGGAGGAGGAGGAGAAGAAGAAGAAAAUAAUAAGAAGGAGAACAAGAAUAAUAGGAAAAAAUAAAAAAGAAAAUAAGAAGAAGAAGAAGAAGAAGAAGAAGAAGAAGAAGAAGAAGAAAAAGAAGGAAAAUACGAG
rnacentral:lncRNA from 1 species